GAUGAACGCUGGCGGCGUGCCUAAUACAUGCAAGUCGAGCGAACAGAUGAGGAGCUUGCUCCUCUGACGUUAGCGGCGGACGGGUGAGUAACACGUGGAUAACCUACCUAUAAGACUGGGAUAACUUCGGGAAACCGGAGCUAAUACCGGAUAAUAUAUUGAACCGCAUGGUUCAAUAGUGAAAGACGGUUUUGCUGUCACUUAUAGAUGGAUCCGCGCCGCAUUAGCUAGUUGGUAAGGUAACGGCUUACCAAGGCAACGAUGCGUAGCCGACCUGAGAGGGUGAUCGGCCACACUGGAACUGAGACACGGUCCAGACUCCUACGGGAGGCAGCAGUAGGGAAUCUUCCGCAAUGGGCGAAAGCCUGACGGAGCAACGCCGCGUGAGUGAUGAAGGUCUUCGGAUCGUAAAACUCUGUUAUUAGGGAAGAACAAAUGUGUAAGUAACUAUGCACGUCUUGACGGAACCUAAGCAGAAAGCCACGGCUAACUACGU
rnacentral:rRNA from 1 species